rnacentral:misc_RNA from 1 species
AACAACAAGAAGGGGUCACACAUCAGCCUGAUGAUGACCACCCUUCUUUUGGAGACUUGGAUAGGAAGGAUGCGAUGAGUAAAAGAGAAUUAGACUAUGUUAUAUCAGAAGAGGCACCAUUGGUAGACAACAAAGGAGAAGUGGAUAUAACUGACAAUAGGAACUCUAUGGUUGUAAAGGAUGAUGGAGUUCAAAAUGAAGGAAGCAACAAAAACAAUGGAGGAGUAACUAAUGGUCAUUCUUUAGAUGAAAGAAAGAAUGGCUGUUCUGAAAAUACUGACAGCGUAAAU